CUGAAUUGCUUUUUGUUCGUUCCACUGAAAAUGCAGACCAACCUGAAUUAUUAGCGUAUGUCUAUAUGUCGAUAUUAUGCAAUAAGCAUAUGUCUAUAUAGUGAUAUUAUGCAAUAAACAAUGCAGAAUAUAUUUUUAUAAUUUAUCUUUUUUUGACUUGCAGAGAAGAGCAAAUAAAAAAAUGUUGUAAAAGCAACAAGCCUGAUUUCAGCAGCUCAGAAGCUGUUCAGUGGUGGCUCUCUGGUGAUCAUAAUCUAUGCUUCUUUGCUUUUGAAACCAUUUCUCCUUGACCCUCAACCUGCUGACCUUGCUUCUUUGGAUGCAGCCCAGGAUAUGGAUACUUGUUAUGAG
rnacentral:lncRNA from 1 species